CAAAUAAAUAUUAGCUUGGGUGAUUUCAGAGUCAAUUAUGGAAGACGGCAUUUUGAUUUUAAGUUCAUAAAUGGAGUAUCGAAAAUACCUUACCACGGGUGCAGCAGUUCCUGCGCGAACAGCAUGUCGAUGGAAAAGGUCAGCGGCAUGUUCAGGCUCCCCAAGGAGAAAAAAAGUAUGUGUUUCUGCUGUUACCCUAAGUGAUCCUGCACGCAUCUCUUGUGGUCCUGCACUCGACUCCUGUCAUCCUGGUCCUGCACUCGACUCACUUAAUCCUGAUCCUGCACUUGUCUCCUGUGGUCCUGCACUGA